UGCUCUAAGUAGAGCAGUAUAAUGUGCUGUGACCUCAGUGAUAAUGAAAGAUUAUCAAAGCAAUUUCGGCCUCUCUAUUUUGCCACAUAUUAACCAUGACCCAAAGCGAACUUGCAGCUGGGAUGCGAUUCAGUUUACUUUGUUAUUAACGUGUUUUCUGUUUGGGAAUAUUUCCGUACCACCGCUAACAGGUAGCUUUUGGGGAGAUACUUACAUUUCACGACGUCAAAGUGGCUGUUUGGCUCCUGCGGGAUCGCGGCCUCUGUGGUAUGUGAUGUUUGUUUAUGACCAGUGGGACUUCUGAGGUUCUAUACAUUUAUGGCACCUUUAUCCUUUAAAAAGUAGCAUUUUGCACACAUACACACAAAUAAUGUAAGGGCCAACAAAAAAAACAAUAACAUGAAAAUAUGCUGAAAAUGCUGGCAUACUACCUUACAUCUUUCAUUUCAUUACCUGAUUUUGUUGCACACGUAAUAUGUUUGAGAAAUACAGUAUUUCAAUUAUUAUUUUUGAUUAAAAAAAAGAUUAUUCAAAAACAAAACACAAUAAAAAAACCUUAAUACCUGCAGCUUCUCCUUGGCUCGUGCGUGGCAGUGCAUUGUUGCCAAGCCGUCCUCACUUGCCCUACCUUACUCACAGGCGGCUCGGGGCCAGGACUGAUGACUGCUGGAAGGGAAACUCGCCUCCAUCUGGAACAUCACAGGCUGCCAGUAACAGGAACUCGCACACAAAAUGCGACAUCGUCUGCAAAGCCCAAGCCGCUCUGAGGGACAACUGUUAACCUAAAAGUGUCUUUACCAGUCCCAAGCGUCUACUGGAAAUGCAUCACUUCAUCUAAGAUAAAUCUGUGGGUAGUCUCAAGGCUGCAAGUGUAACCAGUCUGUCCUCAUCUGAACUUGGCGGAUGAAAACUACAAUUACACGGCUGAGGCCAGCCGUUGUGUAGACUCUCUCUCUCUCUCUCUCUCUCUCUCUCUCUGCUCGGCAUUAGUUUGCUUUGCUUCCAGCCUGCACACAGCAUGUGAACCAGCAAGAUCUGAGAGGAGACAGUGUCAAGUUGGACCCAUAUCAUGUCUGAAUAUGUGAGAGGAACGGCUGCAGACGCAGUGGAUUACAGUCAAUCAAGAGACACACAUGCAUAUAGAUCAAACACACUUGUUGUAUAAACAGUAGGCAAAGCUAUUCCACUUAUAUUGAAAAAUGUUAACGACUGGCAUGGAUGCAAAAAAUGGGCUUCAUUUCCGUGGCAACCAAGGCAAAGAAAAUACUGUAAUGCACGACAGCAUUAAAUCCCACUUUAUGUUUGCAUGACACGGGUAUAUUAUAUAGUCGUGAUACUCCUGAAUGACAUCCAAAAUGAGGAUGAUGAUGAUACUUACAAUCAGACAACUGUGCAACCCCACUGUAGUUCAAGAGACUACGGCCACUCAUCAGGGAAGGAUGUUGAUGCUUAACAUCUGUAGUUUAUUGCCUUCUCUGUGUAGUAAUUGAGAAACAAACUGAUUGGCCUACAGAUGUUAUUCAUAUACAACAUUAGAAGAUAAAGAGGUUGUUUUCUACAUCCUCUUGAUCAAAGAAAUUCUAUUUGUAUCCGAUUCAUUCAUCACAACUUCACACAUCAUUUAGUUGGCCAGACAAAAUUGGCCGGAUGUCGUGCAAACUAAUAAGAUCGGUUGAACAUGUUGUGUGUCAUUUCUGCAUUAGGAAAGAUUCUGGAGGUCCAACAUUGUGAACAACAGUAUUCAAAAAAUGUACUUUAGCAGUAUGUUCUAAAGUAUGUUGUUUUGGUUUUUAAAGGUAUCCAUUCAUUUUACACAUAAAUAGCCAAUGUGCAUGAGUCAAUAUAGCUGCUAUAGUAGACACAUUUAGGUCUGCACCUAUCAACAACUCAAUCAUGCAGAAUUUGGGAUUAGCAAUAGUAAACAUACAAUAGUAUACCUUUGGCCUAGUAGUGCCAAUGAAAUGGAGCUUGAAUGAUGCUCAGUUGAAGUUAGCUGUUAACUCCGUCUUUUAGCCAAACAGAAUCUUGUUUAUUACAAUUCUUUUUGCCUCGCGGUUGGUGUGGAGGGACUGUGGGGUCAAACAAAGCCUCUUUGCACCAACGACUUUUAGCAAUUGAGUACUUUACAAUUUUGGUGGAAUUGUUUCCACUGCCUAUAGCAAAAGCAGAAUAUUCAAAUAAGGUUGAUGUAAAACAAUGUAUAAAAGCAAUGUAGUUAAUUGCAUUAUAAACUAAUAACUGCAAUUUGUAGGAAUUAAACUUCUGAGUUUGCAUCUUUCCUUAUGGCUCUCUUAUUUUCCUUCCAGACGAGCUCCAACACAUUGGUUGGUACGUAGGUAGGUGUUUACUCCUUGAAAAAAAACUCUCACCUCCUCCACAAACACAUUAAAUAUGGAAUUGCAAAUUGAAAGUGGACUUGUGUUGACUGCUUAUGUAACCAGACUGUCGGGAUCUGAUGAUUUGCACAAAAGGUUUCUCAGUUCUGUGUAGGAGGCAGAGGGCAUCAACAACAGCUUUUGCCAGACUGAAACUCAUGUUUGGAGAAGUAUUUUUUUUCUGUUGUGUUGAAGAUAUACAACAUUAUCUUUAGUCUUAUACAACUUAUGAGACACUGGAUUAUUUGAGUAAAUCACUUUCCUCUUUUGGAAAAACUUAAUUCUUACUUGUCUGAAGCAACUUCUUCUAAAAAUGGAAAGAAAAAAACACGUGAUGAUGUACUGGCACAGCAAUUAAAUCAACAUUUUGGAGUUGAUGUGGACCCGUGUUUUAGUACUGUAUGUGACACCUUAUCCCUCAGACCUUUCUGCUAUCAGACAUAAUAACGUACGCCAGCUUUGCAAUUAACCAGUUUGUCAGAGGAAUAAGAAGGCACAAUUUAAAUAGAUCACUCACUUUGGCCCUGGGUUUUGUGUUUAAUUUAAAUGUUCUUUCAAACAGGCAGCAGGAUUUCACCAGUUACCAAUCAUGCACAAUGAGCAAAUGUCAGCAAUUUUUUUAUUAUGUGUCCAUUGAGGCUCGGGAUACUGUAUUUGUGCAUGUAUAUAUACAUCUUUACUCUCCUUCACCUUCAUCUGUAUAUUGUAAUUCACUGCCAGGCGUAGCCCUCAUUAAAUGUGUUUAAAGAGCCCCUUGAACACU